GCUGGCGUAGCUCAGUUGGUAGAGCAGCUGACUUGUAAUCAGCAGGUCGGGGGUUCGAUUCCCUUCGCCAGCU
rnacentral:tRNA from 1 species